rnacentral:rRNA from 1 species
ACGCUGGCGGCGUGCCUAAUACAUGCAAGUAGAACGCUGAAGAGAGGAGCUUGCUCUUCUUGGAUGAGUUGCGAACGGGUGAGUAACGCGUAGGUAACCUGCCUUGUAGCGGGGGAUAACUAUUGGAAACGAUAGCUAAUACCGCAUAACAAUGAAUGACACAUGUCAUUUAUUUGAAAGGGGCAAUUGCUCCACUACAAGAUGGACCUGCGUUGUAUUAGCUAGUAGGUGAGGUAACGGCUCACCUAGGCGACGAUACAUAACCGACCUGAGAGGGUGAUCGGCCACACUGGGACUGAGACACGGCCCAGACUCCUACGGGAGGCAGCAGUAGGGAAUCUUCGGCAAUGGGGGCAACCCUGACCGAGCAACGCCGCGUGAGUGAAGAAGGUUUUCGGAUCGUAAAGCUCUGUUGUAAGUCAAGAACGAGUGUGAGAGUGGAAAGUUCACACUGUGACGGUAGCUUACCAGAAAGGGACGGCUAACUACGUGCCAGCAGCCGCGGUAAUACGUAGGUCCCGAGCGUUGUCCGGAUUUAUUGGGCGUAAAGCGAGCGCAGGCGGUUUGAUAAGUCUGAAGUUAAAGGCUGUGGCUCAACCAUAGUUCGCUUUGGAAACUGUCAAACUUGAGUGCAGAAGGGGAGAGUGGAAUUCCAUGUGUAGCGGUGAAAUGCGUAGAUAUAUGGAGGAACACCGGUGGCGAAAGCGGCUCUCUGGUCUGUAACUGACGCUGAGGCUCGAAAGCGUGGGGAGCGAACAGGAUUAGAUACCCUGGUAGUCCACGCCGUAAACGAUGAGUGCUAGGUGUUGGAUCCUUUCCGGGAUUCAGUGCCGCAGCUAACGCAUUAAGCACUCCGCCUGGGGAGUACGACCGCAAGGUUGAAACUCAAAGGAAUUGACGGGGGCCCGCA